CCGACCUAGAAAAUAAAAAGAUUAUUCAGAAUUUUAAAUACAGUAUAUACUCGAGUAUAAACCGACUCAAAUAUAAGUCGAGGCACCUAAUUUUACCACCAAAAACUGGGAAAAUAUUGACUCCAGUAUAAGCCGAGGGUGGUAAAUUUCAGAAAUAAAAAUAGAUACCAAUAUAAUUACAUUAAUUGAGGCAUCAGUAGGUUAAAUGUUUUUGAAUAUUUACAUAAAGCUCAAAUUUAAGAUAAGACUGUCCAACUCUGAUCAAAUCAUUAUUCUCAUCUUCUUCAAUGUAAAUGUGCUUGUUAUGGUUGAGCCUUCUGGCUCCGGUACUGGGAGACGUGGUCGUAAGACUCCUCGAGAGUCAGACUCUUUUGAGGAGCGUGAAAGGAAAAGGCUCCGGGACUUAUUUGCAGAACCAACAGAUGAAGACUCAUUUGAGGGUUUUACCGAGGGAAUGGAGGAAGAGAUGGUUAGCUCAGAGGAGGAUGACAUGGAGUGGACUCGUGUGAGGGAGGAUCUGGGUGUCACCGGCAAUGAUAGCUUGGGAGGCGAUUGGCGGGUUGCAGGAUCAGACCCAUGGACGGGCUGGAGGGAUGGAGCGGGAUCCACAGCUGGGGAUGCUGUGGGGCGUAGUCAAAGGUGUUUUAGCUCUGAUGAGGAGGAUGAUGAUGAGGCACCUGGAAUUAGGAUAGCAGCUGACAGCGAUGAGGAGUUAUGAACUGGGAUAAAAUGGGGUUUAGGAUCAAUGGCUAAUUGCGUUGGGCAAGGUAAUCUGGACGAACGCUUGGGCUCUUGUUGGGGAACUUCCUGAAGACGGGUGUGAUUCGUUGCUGGAUACCUUGGACCUCCGUCGUCUUUUUGACGGACAUUAAUUACCUACUCUGGAUUGACGCUGGACUGACUGACUGACUACGACCCUGGACUAUCCCUUCUGUGGCUAUCGGUGGAACUUGUGGACGUCUGCACUUAGCUUUCGACCUUGGACCGGAUUGGGACCCACGCUGACCGUCGUUACCCUGAUUGAUAUGCCUGGACCCGGAUUUCGCUCGUUGCACGGAGGAGUAAAGCAGCUUGAGUUACUCAUCUGUAACUUUUGAGUAGCAGAGAGGAAUCUGCUGCCAGUUUUUUGUGUUCAUUUUGACCUCUGUUUUCCAACUUUUGUUUGUUUAAAUUGUCAGGCUGAAGUAAGCACUUUUGUUUUAAUCCGGAUUAAACUCCUGUUUAAUCCGGUUUAUCCUUUUGAACCGUUUUAAUUCAAACGGAGCUGUUUCUGUUACUUUCACACUGAAGACAAGUGUUUGCCUAGUCCUUUGCUUCCUACGGGCAUUUCUCAGUUCUGUAACUUUAAUAAACUGUGUUGUAUUCUA